UGUGCGCAGAGGGAAAGGGAGAGAGAGAAUCCCAAGCAGGCUCCACACUGCCAGUGCACAGCCCAAUAUGGGGCUCAAAACCACGAACCAUGAGUUCAUGACCCAAGCUGAGAUAAAACAUCAGACCCUCAACCCACUGAACCACUCAGGUGCCCCCAAGCAAAUGAUCUCAUAAAGGAAGUGCUCCCAUGAGGGAGUUUGGAAAGCAGGACAAGGGUAGGGAAGAGGAUGAGAAAAGGUGCAGUUUCAGGCAAAUUACCAGCCUCAGCCUGAUCCUGUGAGGUUUCUAGAACAUCGGUUAGGCCUCAAAGUUUAUCUCCUUUGAAGUAAGGAGCUGGUUUUCAUCCUCUGGGCUAGAGGCCGGUCAGGAGGGUAUACCUCUCAGCAACUCCCAGCUCUCAGUGCUGUGGCAUUGAAGUUCAUGAGACACCAGAUAGUUCUGCCUGGAAGGAGGCAAUAAGAAUAAUGUCUCUCCAGUUAUUACUGAAUUAAUACUAGACAAUUGACCCUUUCUUUCAAAUCAUCCCCAGCAUUUCAAGCUACUACUGGGUUUUAAUCUACUGCCUUAAAAUCCUCACGGUCACUGCUACAAUGGAAUUUGUUCUUGAAAGAUAACUCUGCUUCUUUAAGAAGAAGGCAGCAAAUAAUAUAAAGAAGGAAAGAAUAAAAUAAGAUUACAUGGCUAAGCAAAAAAAUGAGGGGGAAUAAAAGAAUAAUGAAGGAGAAAUUAA